rnacentral:rRNA from 1 species
AACGUAGGACACGAGCGUUAUCCGGAGUUACUGGGCGUAAAGGGCGUGCAGGCGGUUGGAUAAGACUGAUGUGAAAGCGCCCGGCUUAACCGGGCGAGGACAUUGGUGACUGUCCGACUUGAGGCAGAUAGAGGGGUGUAGAAUUCCGGGUGUAGUGGUGAAAUGCGUAGAGAUCCGGAGGAAUACCAGAGGCGAAGGCGGCACCCUGGGUCUGACCUGACGCUGAGACGCGACAGCAUGGGGAGCGAACGGG